AGUGAACGCUGGCGGUAGGCCUAACACAUGCAAGUCGAACGGCAGCACAGUAAGAGCUUGCUCUUACGGGUGGCGAGUGGCGGACGGGUGAGGAAUACAUCGGAAUCUACUUUUUCGUGGGGGAUAACGUAGGGAAACUUACGCUAAUACCGCAUACGACCUACGGGUGAAAGCAGGGGAUCUUCGGACCUUGCGCGAUUGAAUGAGCCGAUGUCGGAUUAGCUAGUUGGCGGGGUAAAGGCCCACCAAGGCGACGAUCCGUAGCUGGUCUGAGAGGAUGAUCAGCCACACUGGAACUGAGACACGGUCCAGACUCCUACGGGAGGCAACAGUGGGGAAUAUUGGACAAUGGGCGCAAGCCUGAUCCAGCCAUACCGCGUGGGUGAAGAAGGCCUUCGGGUUGUAAAGCCCUUUUGUUGGGGAAGAAAAGCAGCAGGUUAAUACCCCGCUGUUCUGACGGUACCCAAAGAAUAAGCACCGGCUAACUUCGUG
rnacentral:rRNA from 1 species